CUCUGACAUUAUAAACACUCAUUAUAGCUCAAUUCUUAUCUUACUGCUAAGAAUGUGGCUUAAAUACGUGUUUGACCUUUUAGUAGUUUAGCGAUAGGGUUUAUUAGAUGACCGCCACAAAGUGAAAGUACCAGUCACACAG